AAAGGAAUCGUCCUCCCUCAUGUUAAACGGCACCAACCGCCUCUGAUGCUGACCUUAUACUUCACAGAGAGAAUGUUGUUUCAUAAAUGAAUGAUUCACUCUAGCUAAUCAGUAGUUAGAAAUACAGUCAAAUACUUGGCCUCCAGAAGCAUAUCGUCCCUCCUAUAUGUAGUUAUCUGUAUACAGGAUGUUCUUGCCCUCAAUAAUCACAUCGUAAAUCAAAGUGAGAAAGACAGAAGGUUUCAUAAGAGGAGAGGACAGAGAAUGUGAGGAUUGUAGAGGUUGUUGGAGAGGUUAUAUUUCACCGGCGUUAUUUAAUGAAAAGUCUGUUUCUGUUUGCUGUAGCGGAGGUGAGAAUGCACAGUGGUGAGUUAACAGGUUAGUGAAACAUUAGCUGAUGUUUGGCUAGCAGGUCAGAGAUCUCAGGUGAGAGGUAGCAGGGUGGUAGCUGAUGUUUGGCUAGCAGGGUGGUAGCUGAUGUUUGGCUAGCAGGUCAGAGAUCUCAGGUGAGAGCUAGCAGGGUGGUAGCUGAUGUUUGGCUAGCAGGGUGGUAGCUGAUGUUUGGCUAGGAGGGUGGUAGCUGAUGUUUGGCUAGCAGGGUGGUAGCUGAUGUUUGGCUAGCAGGGUGGUAGCUGAUGUUUGGCUAGCAGGGUGGUAGCUGAUGUUUAGCUAGCAGGGUGGUAGCUGAUGUUUAGCUAGCAGGGUGGUAGCUGAUGUUUAGCUAGCAGGGUGGUAGCUGAUGUUUGGCUAGCAGGGUGGUAGCUGAUGUUUGGCUAGCAGGGUGGUAGCUGAUGUUUAGCUAGCAGGGUGGUAGCUGAUGUUUAGCUAGCAGGGUGGUAGCUGAUGUUUGGCUAGCAGGGUGGUAGCUGAUGUUUAGCUAGCAGGGUGGUAGGCUGAUGUUUAGCUAGCAGGGUGGUAGCUGAUGUUUAGCUAGCAGGGUGGUAGCUGAUGUUUAGCUAGCAGGUCAGAGAUCUCAGGUGAGAGGUAGCAGGGUGGUAGCUGAUGUUUGGCUAGCAGGGUGGUAGCUGAUGUUUGGCUAGCAGGUCAGAGAGCUCAGGUGAGAGGUAGCAGGGUGGUAGCUGAAGAUGGAACCUCAGACUUCACAGGCAUCUUGGACUUAACCUAGCCAGCUGGGACUAGUCUGGACCACCUGUUUGGGUUUGGAGUAGUAACUUGGACUUAACCUAGCCAGCUGGGACUGGUCUAGACCACCUGUUUGGGUUUGGGGUAGUAACUUGGACUUAACCUAGCCAGCUGGGACUGGUCUAGACCACCUGUUUGGGUGUGGAGUAGUAACUUGGGCCUAGCCAGCUGGGACUAGUCUGGACCACCUGUUUGGGUUUGGAGUAGUAACUUGGACUUAACCUAGCCAGCUGGGACUGGUCUGGACCACCUGUUUGGGUUUGGAGUAGUAACUUGGACUUAACCUAGCCGGCUGGGACUGGUCUAGUAGUAAGGUUUGAGAUCACGGAGUUAACCCCACUCUUCUGAGUUAAAUAACUGGCAUUGGGAAGACCCCUACAUCAUGUGUUAUGUGACUUGUCCUGAUUCCAGGUCUCUCUUUACUGCUGGGUGUGUGGUGUGGACAGCGACACCCUACCUGUCUGUCUACGUUGUGUGUGACUCAGGAAGUGUGAACGUCAUGCGUCAGUGUGCAGGUGUGAAGAGAAGAGGAGUCGAUUUCCCCUCCGUGUGUGUGUGUGUGUGUGUGUGUGUGUGUGUGUGUGUGUGUGUGUG
rnacentral:lncRNA from 1 species